rnacentral:rRNA from 1 species
GACGAACGCUGGCGGCGUGCCUAACACAUGCAAGUCGAACGAAUUUGAGAAGGAGCUUGCUUCUUCUCAGGUUAGUGGCGGACGGGUGAGUAACGCGUGAGCAACCUGCCUUUCUGAGGGGGAUAACGUUUGGAAACGAACGCUAAUACCGCAUAACAUAUAUUUAUCGCAUGAUAGAUAUAUCAAAGGAGCAAUCCGCAGAAAGAUGGGCUCGCGUCUGAUUAGCUAGUUGGUGAGGUAAUGGCUCACCAAGGCAACGAUCAGUAGCCGGACUGAGAGGUUGAACGGCCACAUUGGGACUGAGACACGGCCCAGACUCCUACGGGAGGCAGCAGUGGGGAAUAUUGCACAAUGGGGGAAACCCUGAUGCAGCGAUGCCGCGUGGAGGAAGAAGGUUUCGGAUUGUAAACUCCUGUCUUCGAGGACGAUAAUGACGUACCGUGAGGAGAAGCACCGGCUAACUCGUGCCAGCCAGCCGACGGUAAACG